rnacentral:rRNA from 1 species
AGGACGAACGCUGGCGGCGUGCUUAACACAUGCAAGUCGAACGAGAUCCAUCCAGUAGCAAUACUGGUGAAGAUCUAGUGGCGAACGGGUGAGUAACACGUGAGCAACCUGCCCCGAAGACCGGGAUAACAGCGGGAAACCGCUGCUAAUACCGGAUACCCCCAUCGGACUACCUGGUCUGAUGAGGAAAUGGAUUCCGCUUCGGGAGGGGCUCGCGGCCUAUCAGCUAGUUGGUGAGGUAACGGCCCACCAAGGCGACGACGGGUAGCUGGUCUGAGAGGACGAUCAGCCACACUGGGACUGAGACACGGCCCAGACUCCUACGGGAGGCAGCAGUGGGGAAUAUUGCGCAAUGGGCGAAAGCCUGACGCAGCAACGCCGCGUGAGGGAUGACGGCCUUCGGGUUGUAAACCUCUUUCGAGCAGGGACGAUAAUGACGGUACCUGCAGAAGAAGCUCCGGCCAACUACGUGCCAGCGCCGCGGUAA